GCUUGCACCUUUCAAGCGAGUGGCGAACGGGUGAGUAACACGUGGAUAACCUGCCUCAAGGCUGGGGAUAACAUUUGGAAACAGAUGCUAAUACCGAAUAAAACUUAGUAUCGCAUGAUAUCAAGUUAAAAGGCGCUACGGCGUCACCUAGAGAUGGAUCCGCGGUGCAUUAGUUAGUUGGUGGGGUAAAGGCUUACCAAGACGAUGAUGCAUAGCCGAGUUGAGAGACUGAUCGGCCACAUUGGGACUGAGACACGGCCCAAACUCCUACGGGAGGCUGCAGUAGGGAAUCUUCCACAAUGGGCGCAAGCCUGAUGGAGCAACGCCGCGUGUGUGAUGAAGGCUUUCGGGUCGUAAAGCACUGUUGUAUGGGAAGAAAUGCUAAAAUAGGGAAUGAUUUUAGUUUGACGGUACCAUACCAGAAAGGGACGGCUAAAUACGUGCCAGCAGCCGCGGUAAUACGUAUGUCCCGAGCGUUAUCCGGAUUUAUUGGGCGUAAAGCGAGCGCAGACGGUUGAUUAAGUCUGAUGUGAAAGCCCGGAGCUCAACUCCGGAAUGGCAUUGGAAACUGGUUGACUUGAGUGUUGUAGAGGUAAGUGGAACUCCAUGUGUAGCGGUGGAAUGCGUAGAUAUAUGGAAGAACACCAGUGGCGAAGGCGGCUUACUGGACAACAACUGACGUUGAGGCUCGAAAGUGUGGGUAGCAAACAGGAUUAGAUACCCUGGUAGUCCACACCGUAAACGAUGAAUACUAGGUGUUAGGAGGUUUCCGCCUCUUAGUGCCGAAGCUAACGCAUUAAGUAUUCCGCCUGGGGAGUACGACCGCAAGGUUGAAACUCAAAGGAAUUGACGGGGACCCGCACAAGCGGUGGAGCAUGUGGUUUAAUUCGAAGCAACGCGAAGAACCUUACCAGGUCUUGACAUCCUUUGAAGCUUUUAGAGAUAGAAGUGUUCUCUUCGGAGACAAAGUGACAGGUGGUGCAUGGUCGUCGUCAGCUCGUGUCGUGAGAUGUUGGGUUAAGUCCCGCAACGAGCGCAACCCUUAUUGUUAGUUGCCAGCAUUCAGUUGGGCACUCUAGCGAGACUGCCGGUGACAAACCGGAGGAAGGCGGGGACGACGUCAGAUCAUCAUGCCCCUUAUGACCUGGGCUACACACGUGCUACAAUGGCGUAUACAACGAGUUGCCAACCUGCGAAGGUGAGCUAAUCUCUUAAAGUACGUCUCAGUUCGGACUGCAGUCUGCAACUCGACUGCACGAAGUCGGAAUCGCUAGUAAUCGCGGAUCAGCACGCCGCGGUGAAUACGUUCCCGGGUCUUGUACACACCGCCCGUCACACCAUGGGAGUUUGUAAUGCCCAAA
rnacentral:rRNA from 1 species